UGGGGAAUAUUGGACAAUGGACGAAAGUCUGAUCCAGCGACGCCGCGUGAGUGAUGAAGGCCUUCGGGUUGUAAAGCUCUGUCAGCAGGGAAGAAUCGGUCGCUAGAAUAAUACCUAGCGGCCUUGACGGUACCUGCGAAGGAAGCACCGGCUAACUCCGUGCCAGCAGCCGCGGUAAUACGGAGGGUGCAAGCGUUGCUCGGAAUUACUGGGCGUAAAGCGUGUGUAGGCGGCCUCGCAAGUCGCGUGUGAAAUCCCGAGGCUUAACCUCGGAACUGCGCCCGAAACUGAAAGGCUAGAGUGCUGGAGAGGGUGGUGGAAUUCCCAGUGUAGAGGUGAAAUUCGUAGAUAUUGGGAGGAACACCAGUGGCGAAGGCGGCCACCUGGACAGACACUGACGCUGAGACACGAAAGCGUGGGGAGCAAACAGGAUUAGAUACCCCCGUAGUCC
rnacentral:rRNA from 1 species